ensembl:snRNA U6 U6 spliceosomal RNA
GUGCUUGCUUCGACAGCACAUAUUCUAAAAUUGGAAAGAUACAGAGAAGACUAGCAUGGCUCCUGCACACGGAUGACACGAAAAUUCGUGACGCGUUCCAUAUUUUU